GAUAACGUGCUGUCAUCGAUCUAAACACCCAUCUUCUAAUAGCGACAAACGAUUCCGCGAACUCUUUAAGGAACAAUGGCUUUGGAAUCAUGUUGUUUCAGUCGAUAGAAGAUUUCUCAGUUCUCCAUCCUCGUCACCUCGCUUGAAGAACUAGGGGGACAAUUACCGGUUAACUCAAAGAAAAGUACGUUGACGCUUUAUCGAAGGGGUGCAUGCAACAAAACGUCACUUUCGAGGAAAUCAAGGAGAGUAAUAUAUCUACAUCAUUUUAUCAUACACAGCUUAGCACCACGCGAUGAUUAAACGAGGAGCGAUUUUCCAAUAGACAAUGUAGAAAGAAGAAAAUGGCAUUUCUCUCAUUAAUUUAAUCUGAAGACAUAUGGUUCACGAAGCUUUAUAAUCCAUCUUCAUUGUGAAAAAACGAAACCACACGUCAUUUUAUAUUCUCGUCAAGGAAGUUCACGUAAGAGACGUGAAUACAAUUCUUUUUGGAAGCCCACAAGCAUCAAGAACAGCUCGCACGUUUCCGAGAUCCAAAUUACCAAUUUUCCCACUACUGCUUGAUGGGUCAAAAACGAACAUGUAUUUGAUCAGACCGCUUUCUAGAGCUCAUAAGCUCGAGAGCAGAAACAACAAAUUCUUUCUACUGCAAAGACAUCUCAUUCGAGGUAAUUAUAGACGAGACCGACGUCUAGUUUGAGACCAAUGAACUAGACGUCCCGACCAAGAACCGAUGCCAACGUCUCGUUCAAAAAUCAAUACCAAUGUCUAAUUCACGGACCAAGAAGAAUUCAUCUCCAUUUAAUAGGAAAAUCAAGUGACAUUACGAUUAGACAAUUCUUCCACCAUGGGAUUGUUCGAUGAAAAAGGAAACACGAAACCCUUUUACGGUUUACUCCACAAAACAAAUGCCUCCCCAUAUUUGUUAAAACGAAGAAUCUUUUUCCCACAAAGAAGAACUCGAGAGGGCUACAAGAUCUCUUUACAAGAUCACGAUAUUGAAAAUAAGUAUUUUCAUUUGUCUGGAAUCCGAUAGGGUGAGAGCUCUCUUUCCUUGUGAUAUCAGAGCUAACAAGUCCGAGAUCCCGAAGUGAAUACACUUUGAACUUUUUCCAUUGGUAAAUGACGUUUCAUCCAAGAUGGUAGAAGAUAAAUCCAAGGUCUCGCUCGAGAACCCAUGAACUUGUUUGAUGGGAAAACGGUUAUAAAGAAGAUGUGGGUUUAACAAAGACGUCUUAUUAAUGGUCGGAGGAAACGUUCAGUCGGUUACAAAGGAAAUGAGAAGAGUGCGACAGAAAGAAAGCCGGUGGCUCGAAGAGCUACCGGAAAAGUACAAACAACGGCGAGAUGAAGCAGAGGUGAAAACCCUAAUCUAGCCGCCAAGUGUCAGUCAAGAGUUUCGGAUCCUUUCGUUGCUUCCCUUUUCCUUUAUAUAGUCGUCCUGAUGCUUCGUCUUUGACCUAGCUUACACCAUCUUGAUGGGCCUCCCCUGCCGGGCCGAAAAGCCCAUAUGCGUCUGAGCAGCCACCGAGCCGAGUAUACUUCAGUCAAUGACGAUCGACUAAAAGUACUCUAGAGACAAGCCGAGAGGCCUGACUCUUGAGCCGACUGAUCGAACCGUCGCUCUACCUAAUCCAGGCCAGGCUUUCUAUUCUUUGGGCCUUGUGGGGUGGUUAAAUCCAUCCCCUACAAAGCUGAUGCUUCGAUUUGGAGGAAGAAACCGAUGACUCGCUCGAGAUUGAUAAAACCAACAUCUUGCUCGAGACCGAUGAAGCCAACUCCUCGAUCUAGAGGACAAAACCGAUAUCUCUUUCAGGGAUGACAAAUUUUAGUCAACCGACUAGAAUAAAACGGAGGAUAUCUCACAGCACAUCAAGCCGAAACCUUCUAAAAUCAUAACUCACAUGCCCGCACCUCAAUCUGAAACGAUCCUCGACUGUCUGAGUUUCGACGGGCAAGAUGAGGUUCAAAUCAGACAGCAAGAAAGACCACAAGUUCGUGCUAGAAUUAGUUUAACCGAGCUUUUGAGCUCCUGACAACGGGAUUCCAAAGACUCAGAUCGUGUAUCUGCCCCAAACUGCAACUUCCCCAAAAAAUGGAGCACAGGACGCAAUCUGGUUAACCCAAACCCAGAUGAUGUGGGUGAAAUGCAUGCAGGGGUCCGAUCUCAGGAACAAUGCAGCAACCACCCGAGUUGUGGUCCGCCUCUUAAUCGUCACAGUUGGUUCUUCUCCCCUAGACACACUCUCAUUCCUUUAGGUAGAAGAUGACGUAAGUUGGAAUUUAUAUGGGGAACGCCUCUGCUUGAAGUGGAAGAGGAAGUUUCAGUUUAUUAACGCCUCUGCUUGAAGUGGAAGGGGAAGUUUCAGUUUAUUCAAAUUUAUUUUGGAGAAUAUUCAAUUGUGUUCUAAUUAAACGAAUCUAAACCCUUUUAACAUUGUUUUUAGUUGACCAAAAAAAAUACAGACGUGUUAUCUCUUUCUGAGUUGUAGGUUUUAUUAGUCUAUUUAUAAGACUAGGUGCGUAGCUUUAACAAUCUCUUUUAAAAAAAAAAAGUUAGUCACCUGCUGGAAAGUGAUUGCUCUCACCACCGGCUGAGAGGAAGUAUAAUCUUUCUUCUCACCAUCAGCCUAAAACCAAAAGAGAAAUUCAAGUUUUAUAACAUACAGUACGGUUUAGAUAACACAAAAAGAGCAGACAAGUUUACCACAUUACCAUUUUUAACACUAAAAACCAUAGUUUCAUAAGCUUAGAGAGAAACUAAGGACAAACAGAGAGAGAAAAAAAAACAGGUCGAGAAAAAAUAUUUGUACCAACGUAUUUGUUAAAGACCAAAACAGACGACAAGAACCUGAAGCUUCUGAUCAAAUCCAU